UAUAUAUAUAUAUAUAAACACAUGUAGAAUUGUGAGAUAAAUUGUGAAUUAUUUUAAUUAAAACAACAACGUAAAUAUAUAUUUACAGAAAAAAAUGAGAAGGUUGCCAAUGAAUCUUGUAUUUUGCUACUUUUGAAGGGUUCAUUAUUCUGUAAUUUUAAAUGUAAGCCAGUCCACAAAUGUCUGAAUAUCACCUCAGGUCAGGAUUUUAUGGUUAACGCUUCAGUGUCAUCAAUCCUAACUGAAGUCUGAAAUAAGGUGUGUGCACCCUGGAGUCCGUGGUGAAUGGAUGACUCUCCAAGUGUUCGCUACUCAAGCGGGAGUUUGAAUUUGGAGUCCAGCUGUGGGUUCUUAGGCUGAAAGGUCAAGCUUCUCAUGGUUGCUGUUCUGACGCGUUCAGUGGAAACCGGUGGUCAUAAUGUUAUGGAUAAUUGGAGUAAAUGAACUAUACAAACAGACCAGCAGGGGGCGAUGUCAAAGGGAAAGUCGCGCUUCACGUAGUUUGUCCCUGUAGGGCCGCCGUAGCGCUGAAAAAUACAAACGCCUUUUCCAUCGUUUUAAAGGCUCUGGAGCCUCAGCAGGACGCAGCUCCAGGUCACGGGCAGGCUCGUGUCCGGAGAGGUGGAGGUGUUUCUGCGGACCCUGGAGCUGCCUGAGCCCCGGAGGACUGGCUCGUUAUCCGGACUCCUGCAGAAGGACAGGUGGGUAGGGACGAGCUUCCGGUUCGGUCCUGGCUGCAGGCUUUCCGCGGGGUCUAAAAAGUCCUAACAGCGUUGAAUUUAGGAAUUUGGAAAUGAUUCCUUAAAAGGUCUAAAAUGAGUGCGGAACGUAAAUGACCCGUACCGUGUUUGUCCUCUAGAGUUUCAUUUGUCAACCACCAUCAUUUUUAUAUUACACCUUAUUGUUUUAUAACGUAGCAUAAAUAGAGUGGCGGAACCAAUAAUAGAGAACCGCCUCGGGUCUAAAUACUCCGAACACGUGACGUAUUCAGCUCCCGCGCUACAGCAGCGAUCCAAAACGGUAAACACACACCGUGUGUGUGUGUGUGUGUGUGCGCGUGCGCGUGGACCACACAGACCUCCAGCAGAGGAGGAACAUAGAACAUCUCAGCUCAUGAGAAAGGCUGACUGACGCCUAGGGCGGGUUCCAGAACUCUGGACCUCUUUGGGACUGAGUGGAAACACUCGUAGGUCCCAGGGCCGGAUUAACACUUUGUUACCCUGGGCAACAAUAUUCAAGGGCCCCAUCAUAACAACCCAAGAAUCACCACAAUAUGGUCACAUACAGAAUAUUUUACUGUAAUAUGCAGUAAAUAUACUCAAUACUUGAAUGCCUGACAUCACGUAACCCGCUCAGGGUAACCUUUGACCCACCUCGUGUGGACUGACCAAUGAGGAGAGGGUCUUAACUUGAGGCCCUCUCUUCUGGUCCAAGCUCUUUGACAUUAAGUUUUCCACCAUAGUUCUCCUCUCGAACGGAUACUGGAGAAGAGACCGAACUGAAUUCAGUGGCUGCUGAGAUCCGGUAUCCAUGCUGGUUGUAGUCACCGGCGGCGUCCAUGUUACAUCUGCGUCACGACCAAAAACGUGCUGGAGUAGUCGAGACUCUCCGAGUUCUACCGAAUACCAACGAAAGCCUUUGGCGGUAGCUCUAUCGCCCAUCAUGCUUCUGAAUCGACGUCGACGCUGAUUGGAUACAUUCCCAUUCCUACCGUUUGAUUUUCUUGUCAGCAAUUGGCCGGCAGCUUCCGUGCUGUUUGGGCGAUUGAAACACAGCCUACAGCCUUUCUGUCGCCUCCACCGCUCGGCAGAGAGCUUCUCACCAAUAUAGAUAUAUACAUAUAUGAUUUGUUUUUGUUACAAAUCACACAAUUAACUUAGAAUAUGUGAUUAUUGUUAAUUUUAUUUAUUUUUUUUUAAUUAAAAUUAAAAACACUGGGGAAAACUGGGAGGGCGGCGCCCUAUCACCCUCUACUGGCCAGCCGCCACUGAAAGCAGGAGAUUACAGAUACAGUAUUUUGCUCUUGCCCUUGCUGCCCUGGGCCCUUUAGAGUUCAUGGGCCCCUGGGCAAUUGCCCAGUUGCCCAUAUGGUUAAUCCGGCCUUGGUAGGUCCCAAAUAUCAGAAAAAAGUGUUAAAAUGUCCCGAUGUGCCACUGCAGGUCACAUGACUGAUCCCGGGUCACGUUAUGAGUGGAGCAGGCGCGUCUCCUUUCAGCAACAUUAACUAGAAAACAAACGUUUGGGUCGUUUAGCUAAAGUACGCAGCAGCUAAAUGCAUCAGCAGGAAUAGCAGCAGUUUCACCAGCACCUGGUCGUGCAGGGCGGCAUCUUAAGAGCUGGAACAUGGAACGUCUCUGACUGCAACCAAGUCAACCCGAGUCCAUCACCUUCCCAAGCCCUGGAGGAGUGUGAGGAUGGAGGCUGAUGACAGCAGACCUGGCUGCUGUUAUAAAAGCAGUUCAGCAGGUUGUUGUUAACUGCUGUUACUGACAUGAAGUCAGCACUAAUGAAGCUGCUUUAUUCAUGUUUACAUGUUGGGCCUUUACUGUUUGCACUGCAGCUUUGCUGGAAUAAAGUAUAAUAUCAAUAAAUAUAAUAAAAUAAUAUAAAGAACACAACCUUUAAGUACUUUGUUAUCCUCUCUUCUCGCCAUCGUUAAAGUAGUAGUAUGAAUAAGUACUUCAUGGUACCCAGCCCCACUGAUGCUGUUAUAGACAUGUGUUACGUUUAGGGCUGCAACUAACGAUUAUUUUCAUAAUCGAUUAAUCUGUCGAUUAUUUUUUCGAUUAAUCGAUUAUCGGUUUGUUACUGUUUAGCUAUUUAACCUAUACAAGUGAUGGAUGCAUUUCAGUUAAGAAAAAAAAACAUAAGAGAAUUGUGCAGUUGACUGCAAUCUAUUUUAUUGCACAUGAACACAGUCAGCAGUAGAAAAUGAGCUAAACAGUGCAAAAUAUCAGUCCAGAAUAAUUUUUUAGCAUUAGCUGGAAGCCUGCUCCUUCCACCAUGGAUAGUGGCCUCAUGUCUUUUACCAGCAUGUUUAGAAUAGAGUUUGUAAGUGGUAUGAAUUGCUGGGGGGUGAGUGUCUUGUUCCCCAUGUAGUUGUCCAUCGUUGCUUGUUUUUUU
ensembl:lncRNA